rnacentral:rRNA from 1 species
GACAGAGGGUGCAAACGUUGCUCGGAAUUACUGGGCGUAAAGCGCGUGUAGGUGGCCACGCAAGUCAGGUGUGAAAGCCCAGGGCUCAACCCUGGAAGUGCACAUGAUACUACGUGGCUGGAGUACUGAAGAGGAGAGCGGAAUUCCCGGUGUAGAGGUGAAAUUCGUAGAUAUCGGGAGGAACACCAGUGGCGAAGGCGGCUCUCUGGGGACGGUACUGACGCUGAGACGCGAAAAGCGUGGGGAGCGAACAGG